rnacentral:rRNA from 1 species
AGAGUUUGAUCCUGGCUCAGGAUUAACGCUAGCGGCAGGCCUAAUACAUGCAAGUCGAACGGGAUUGAAUAGCAAUAUUCAUGAGAGUGGCGCACGGGUGAGUAACGCGUAUGCAACCUACCUUUAACUGGGGAAUAGCUCCGAGAAAUCGGAAUUAAUACCGCAUAAAAUUGUCGAGAGGCAUCUCUUGAUUAUUAAAACUCCGGUGGUUAAAGAUGGGCAUGCGUGACAUUAGCUUGUUGGUGAGGUAACGGCUCACCAAGGCGACGAUGUCUAGGGGGUCUGAGAGGAUGAUCCCCCACACUGGUACUGAGACACGGACCAGACUCCUACGGGAGGCAGCAGUAAGGAAUAUUGGUCAAUGGGCGCAAGCCUGAACCAGCCAUGCCGCGUGAAGGAUGACGGCCCUAUGGGUUGUAAACUUCUUUUAUACGGGAAAAAACUUUCGCACGUGAUGCGGAACUGAUGGUACCGUAAGAAUAAGGAUCGGCUAACUCCGUGCCAGCAGCCGCGGUAAUACGGAGGAUCCAAGCGUUAUCCGGAUUUAUUGGGUUUAAAGGGUGCGUAGGCGGAUUAUUAAGUCAGUGGUGAAAGCCUGCAGCUUAACUGCAGAACUGCCAUUGAUACUGAUGAUCUUGAGUACAGUUGAGGUGGGCGGAAUGUGUCAUGUAGCGGUGAAAAGCUUAGAUAUGACACAGAACACCAAUUGCGAAGGCAGCUCGCUAAACUGUAACUGACGCUGAGGCACGAAAGCGUGGGGAUCAAACAGGAUUAGAUACCCUGGUAGUCCACGCCCUAAACGAUGAUAACUCGAUGUUAGCGAUAUACUGUUAGCGUCUAAGCGAAAGCAUUAAGUUAUCCACCUGGGGAGUACGGUCGCAAGAUUGAAACUCAAAGGAAUUGACGGGGGCCCGCACAAGCGGAGGAGCAUGUGGUUUAAUUCGAUGAUACGCGAGGAACCUUACCUGGGCUUGAAAGUUAGUGACGUCCCGGGAAACCGGGAUUCCCGCAAGGGCACGAAACUAGGUGCUGCAUGGCUGUCGUCAGCUCGUGCCGUGAGGUGUUGGGUUAAGUCCCGUAACGAGCGCAACCCCUAUCAUUAGUUGCCAUCAGGUUAAGCUGGGGACUCUAAUGAGACUGCCCGCGCAAGCGGUGAGGAAGGUGGGGAUGACGUCAAGUCAGCACGGCCCUUACGUCCAGGGCUACACACGUGCUACAAUGGUCGGUACAGAAGGAUGCUACCUGGUGACAGGAUGCAAAUCUAUAAAACCGAUCUCAGUUCGGAUUGAAGUCUGCAACUCGACUUCAUGAAGCUGGAUUCGCUAGUAAUCGCGUAUCAGCAAUGACGCGGUGAAUACGUUCCCGGGCCUUGUACACACCGCCCGUCAAGCGAUGGAAGUUGGGGGUACCUGAAGUCGAUCACCGAAAGGAGUCGCCUAGGGUAAAACCGAUAACUGGCGCUAAGACGGAACAAGGUAGCCGUACCGAAGGUGCGGCUG